GGUGCCAAGCUAAUAGAAGAGAGAGAAGGGAAAAUCCAAGAGAGCAACAGUUCACUGGAGCGGGGGCUCCUCCGUAUUUAGAAGCAAAUUUGAUUGAUUAACGCGAUCUGGUGAAACCCAUUUGAUCCAUUUGUUUAGGGAAGCGAAAGAACAUGGUGGGAUGAGGCAGUGGGCGAAGUAGGUUGGAGAUGGCUAGAGAAGGCAGAGGACCGGAAUGGGGUGGUUCGGGUUCGGGUCUGUCUCCGUGUAGAAGAAUCACUCUGAUUGUUUGCUCCCUUAACAUUUUUAUUACUCUCUAUUGUCUCCAUUCUCUCUACAUUUAUCCCAACAAAGAUCAUGGUGUUGUAAAGCAUACACCAGAUCAUAUAAAAAAUGGAACAAUCACUUAGAAUUCGAAGAGCCAAUGAACCUAUAGAUCAUGUUAAAUUGGUAAAGCGAUUAAAGCUUGAAUUUUGGGGUGAAGAAGAGUCAACGGGUGUAGCUGAACUGCCACAAGCAGUUAAGAAUAAGAUAACUGAUGAGAUACUGCAAAGAUUGAGAAGUUUGAGACGAAAUGCUACUGCCAGCUAGCAGCGAGGUUGGUGUCUGCCUAAGCUUUUCAUUUUUUGACUGAUUCGGGUGAUUUAGCUUACAGUUUCAAGUGAACACGAUGUUGUGUUUCUGUUUAUUCUUAUUUGGUAACUAGUGUUCUAUUGUGGUGUAGUUAUACAUGGAUUGAGCAUUUCUGAUGUUUUAGGAUAAGACUAUUUUCCGUAAAGUUGAAGAUUGUAAUCUUUGUAUAAGCCAACGA